UCAGCCACCGCAUCCUUGUGUAGUUCUCCUCCUUUCAUCCGAUCCUCCUUUUUCCUUUUUCGAUGGUUUUCUACCAUUCUCUGUCUCUCUCCUUUUCUCACUAGACUAGAUCCAAUUGGUUUCUUAGAUUCUUUCGCAAUUUUGUAGAAGAUAAUUAUCUUCGCUCUUUCUUCUUUUCCUCCUAUUAUGGGUUUCGCUGUUCUUGGGUUUGUUGACAUCUAACUUGUUUAUAGUUGUGUGUGUGUGUGUGUUUUUACAUUCCCUAUAUAGCUCUUAAUCACAGCAGGAGGAAAAUUAAGUCUUACCCUCCAAUUAGUUUUAUUUUCAGGGAAUGAAUUUCUCCUGCUGGUAGCAUCUGAAAUAAGCUCGAUUUCGGAGAAAAAUAAGUCCUCUUUCGAGAAAGUUUCGUACUUCAUUUUCUUGACUAUCCGAUCCAAGUAAAAGCUCAGAGUGAUUUGUCCAGGGUGUAAGCAGGAUUGGAGUUUUCAGACGGCUGAUUAGCAAUUUUGAGGUACAUGACUGUAACCUUGUCGAUAUUGUAAGCUGGAAAAUGUGGAAAGCAUGAAUACACAUGAAGAAUGAAACUUUGAAAUUUUAAUUUUGCUUUU